rnacentral:lncRNA from 1 species
UUUGCCACGAGUUUUCAGUGUCAUUGUCGUGUUAUAUCAAUGGUUUAUCGUUAGGAAUCAUAAUGAAUGAUUGCAGAAGACGAACUUUGUGUAUAUUUAUCAGAUUCAGGUUGCAUUGAUCUUAAUUCGUACUCGAAACCUGUUAUUUUUGCUUAUCAUCAUCCGGAUCAUUUACGUGAAUUGAAAGUUAACACUCCGUACCAUAACGUGUGCUAUUCUGGAUACACAUUCAGGGACUACGGAAAAAUAUGAGCGACAGAUCUCUGGAGAAAAUUUGUUGACAGUUAUUUCAGCAAUCGAAGUUAUAUUUUCCACAGGCACAGGCAUUUCCCCAAACGGUACGAGAAUUUUGAUAGAGAUUCUGCAUAUGACAGACUACAAUAUAUUAAGGAGCAGUAGCGGAGUUAUCAACUAUGUAUUCUAGUGUCUGUAGGAC